rnacentral:ncRNA from 1 species
AAUUAAAGUUUUAUUCUUGCUUUAAUUUUAAUUUAUUAAUUAAUUUAUAUGUAAAUAAUUUAUUUAUAUUUUUUCAGUAAUUUAUUUUUUAAUUAAUUAUAAUUAUUUAUUAAUUUAUUUAAUUAAUAAUUGAUUAAUUUUGUGCCAGCAUUCGCGGUUAUACAUUUAAUUAUAAUUAAUAUUUUAGUUUUAUUUCUUUUAUAUUUUUGUUAAUUAUUUUAUUUAUUUAGGUUGAAUUUAUAUAUUUUUAUUAUUUUUCUUUUUUAUAGGAAUUAAGUUAUUUGUUUAGACUAGGAUUAGAUACCCUAUUAUAUUUAAUUAUUAUAUCUGAAUAUUAAAAGCUAAGUUCUUUAAAACUCAAAGAAUUUGGCGGUUAUUUUAAACUUUUUAGAGGAAUUUGUAUAUUAAUUGAUAAUCCACGAUAUUUUCUACUUUAAUUUUUAUUUGUAUAUCUCUAUUGUUAUUUGAAUAUUUAUUUAUAAUUAUUUUCUUUUUUAAUCAUUUAAUUAAUUUUAGGUCAAGGUGCAGUUUUAUUAAUGUGUAUAUGAAUUACUUUAAUUUUAAAUUUUAUUAAAUUUUUAUUUUUAAAAUUUUAUGGAUCAAGGAUUUAAUAGUAAUUUUAAUUAAUUAAUUAUUAUGAAUUUAGUUCUAAGUAAUGUACAUAUCGCCCGUCACUCCUAUUUAUAGGAUAAGUCGUAACAAAGUAGAAUUAUUGGAAACUGAUUCUAGAAU